rnacentral:rRNA from 1 species
GACGAACGCUGGCGGCGUGCUUAGCACAUGCAAGUCGAACGAUGAAGCUGGAGCUUGCUCCGGUGGAUUAGUGGCGAACGGGUGAGUAACACGUGAGAAAUCUGCCCUUCACUCUGGGAUAACUGCGGGAAACUGUAGCUAAUACCGGAUACUUUCCCUGGUGGGCAUCCACUAGGGAAGAAAGAAUUUCGGUGAAGGAUGAUCUCGCGGCCUAUCAGCUAGUUGGUGAGGUAAUGGCUCACCAAGGCGACGACGGGUAGCCGGCCUGAGAGGGUGACCGGCCAAACUGGGACUGAGACACGGCCCAGACUCCUACGGGAGGCAGCAGUGGGGAAUAUUGCACAAUGGGCGAAAGCCUGAUGCAGCAACGCCGCGUGAGGGAUGAAGGCCUUCGGGUUGUAAACCUCUUUUAGCAGGGAAGAAGCGAAAGUGACGGUACCUGCAGAAAAAGCACCGGCUAACUACGUGCCAGCAGCCGCAGUAA